GCAGUUGACGUGCAGGGGUUCUAGCUCUCAGGUAAAUACAGAGUUCAAUACACAGGUGAGUAUUCACAGGGCUAAGCUGUUAGCGUGCAGGGGUUCUAGCUCUCAAGUAAGUACAGUGUUCCAUACACAGGUAAGUAUUCACAGGGCUGGGCUGUUAGCGUGCAGGGGUUCUAGCUCUCAAUGUAAGUACAGUGUUCCAUACACAGGUAAGUAUUCACAGGGCUGAGCUGUUAGCGUGCAGGGGUUCUAGCUCUCAAUGUAAGUACAGUGUUCCAUACACAGGUAAGUAUUCACAGGGCUGAGCUGUUAGCGUGCAGGGGUUCUAGCUCUCAAUGUAAGUACAGUGUUCCAUACACAGGUGAGUAUUCACGGGGCUGGGCUGUUAAUGCGCUACUCACCACUGAAGAUAUUCAGAGG